rnacentral:rRNA from 1 species
UACAGAGGGUGCGAGCGUUGUCCGGAAUCACUGGGCGUAAAGGGCGCGUAGGCGGCUUGAUAAGGUUGCGGUGAAAGCCCGGGGCUCAACCCCGGGUCGGCCGUGGCAACUGUCGAGCUGGAGCACUGUAGAGGCAGGUGGAAUUCCGGGUGUAGCGGUGGAAUGCGUAGAGAUUCGGAAGAACACCGGUGGCGAAGGCAGCUCGCUGGGACGGUAGUUGACGCUAAGGCGCGAAAGCGUGGGGAGCAAACAGG